UUGAAGAAAACCAAAAUAGAGGUAUAUCACUGUUAAUGAUAAAACUGAGUUAAACUCUCUUCAAG
rnacentral:tRNA from 2 species